AUAGUCCAUGUUGGCUUAAUGGAAGAGAUUGGAGCAUCAUGUGUAUCGUUAUAUAUCAGGAUUUUAUACUUCCAAUUAGUGAAAAGAGAGAUCAGUCACUUUUUUCGUUUUGUUGAGCCAAUUUGGUUAUCAAAUGUUGGAUCCACUGAAGAAGAAUGAGUUGAAUGGGUAUCAAAGCAUAUGAUUGAUUCAAAUCCGGGUCAGAUGUGGUUGUUGCCAUAUCAUAAGGGAAAGCAUUGGAUGCUUAUAAUAAUUGAUUUUGAUCACCAAUUGUGCUAAUUCCUGGAUUCUCUUCACAAUUUUCCACCAGAUGAAAUCAAAUCUCUCAUUUCUCGUGUCUUUCAACAUUUACACACAAAUAAUGCAAAAACUAAGGAAGUCGCGUGGAGAACAGUUAAGUGUCCUCGUCAACCAUUACAAUCAGUACAAUGUGGGUUCUAUGUUAUGAGGAUGAUGAAGGACUUCGUGACAAAUGAG